AUUAGCCCUGAUUGAAGCGGCAUCCUUUUUUACUGUCAGUUCGAGUGCCACACUUUUUGUAUGGUGUAUCGAGAACAGAAGUGAAAAAGAUAUAGCGGAAAGCAGGAAAUAG
rnacentral:sRNA from 1 species